rnacentral:rRNA from 1 species
CCUACGGGAGGCAGCAGUGGGGAAUAUUGCACAAUGGGGGAAACCCUGAUGCAGCGACGCCGCGUGAGUGAAGAAGUAUUUCGGUAUGUAAAGCUCUAUCAGCAGGAACGAGACAAGACGGUACCUGACUAAGAAGCCCCGGCUAACUACGUGCCAGCAGCCGCGGUAAUACGUAGGGGGCAAGCGUUAUCCGGAAUCACUGGGUGGAAAGGGAGCGUAGACGGCUGAGCAAGCCUGAAGUGAAAGGCGGGGGCCCAACCCCCGGACUGCUUUGGGAACUGUACGGCUGGAGUGCAGGAGAGGUAAGUGGAAUUCCUAGUGGAGCGGUGAAAUGCAUAGAUAUCACGCAGAACUCCGAUUGCGAAGGCAGCAUACCGGCGCCCAACUGACGCUGAAGCACGAAAGCGUGGGUAUCGAACAGGAUUAGAUACCCGGGUAGUC